rnacentral:rRNA from 1 species
ACUCAAAUGAAUUGACGGGGGCUCACACAAGCGGUGGAGCAUGUGGCUUAAUUCGAGGCUACGCGAAGAACCUUAUCCCGGGCUUGACAUGUGCGAAAGCGGCAGGGAGUAGGGUGCGGAAACGUUACCCCAACGGUACCCAGUCCGGAACCUGCUACAGGUGCUGCAUGGCUGUCGUCAGCUCGUGUCGUGAGAUGUUGGGUUAAGUCCCGUAACGAGCGAAACCCUUGCCUCCAGUUGCCAGCGGGUAAAGCCGGGGACUCUGGAGGGACUGCCGGUGUUAAACCGGAGGAAGGCGGGGAUGACGUCAAGUCCUCAUGGCCUUUAUGCCCGGGGCUGCACACGUGCUACAAUGGCGCGCACAGAGGGAGGCCAACCCGCGAGGGGGAGCCAAUCCCAAAAAACGCGCCCCAGUUCAGAUCGAAGGCUGCAACCCGCCUUCGUGAAGCCGGAAUCGCUAGUAAUCGCGGGUCAGCAACACCGCGGUGAAUGUGUUCCUGAGCCUUGCACACACCGCCCGU